rnacentral:rRNA from 17 species
UAACUUUCAACAACGGAUCUCUUGGCUCUCGCAUCGAUGAAGAACGCAGCGAAAUGCGAUACGUAAUGUGAAUUGCAGAAUUCAGUGAAUCAUCGAAUCUUUGAACGCAUAUUGCGCUCUUUGGUAUUCCGAAGAGCAUGCUUGUUUGAGUAUCAGUA